rnacentral:rRNA from 1 species
AGACUCCGCUUGAUCCUGGCGGACCCAACUGCUAUCGGGAUGAGACUAAGCCAUGCGAGUCGCACGCUUCCUAGCCACGGUGGGAGCGUGGCGUACGGCUCAGUAACAUGUGGCUAACCUACCCUCAGGACUGGGACAACUUCGGGAAACUGAGGCUAAUCCCGGAUGGACGGAGAGGCCUGGAAUGGUUCUCCGUUGGAAAGGCUCUGGAGGCAUGCUCUCUAGAGUUGCCUGAGGAUGGGGCCGCAGCC